UACGGAGGAUCCAAGCGUUAUCCGGAUUUAUUGGGUUUAGAGGGUGCGUAGGCGGAUUGAUAAGUUAGAGGUGAAAUGUCCGAGCUCAACUCGGGAACUGCCUCUAAUACUGUUGAUCUAGAGAGUAGAUGCGGUAGGCGGAAUGUAUGGUGUAGCGGUGAAAUGCUUAGAGAUCAUACAGAACACCGAUUGCGAAGGCAGCUUACCAAUCUAUAUCUGACGUUGAGGCACGAAAGCGUGGGGAGCAAACAGG
rnacentral:rRNA from 1 species